CUUCACCGAGCCCAACCAGAGGGGCCGGUCCGCCGGCCGGUCGUGGCCAUACGUGGCGAUCAGCGCCUCCGCCUC
rfam:Salinispora tropica CNB-440, complete genome.